rnacentral:rRNA from 1 species
CGCGGCCUAUCAGCUUGUUGGCGGGGUAAUGGCCCACCAAGGCGACGACGGGUAGCCGGCCUGAGAGGGCGACCGGCCACACUGGAACUGAGACACGGUCCAGACUCCUACGGGAGGCAGCAGUGGGGAAUAUUGCACAAUGGGCGAAAGCCUGAUGCAGCGACGCCGCGUGGGGGAUGAAGGCCUUCGGGUUGUAAACCCCUUUCAGCAGGGAAGAAGCGAAAGUGACGGUACCUGCAGAAGAAGCGCCGGCUAACUACGUGCCAGCAGCCGCGGUAAUACGUAGGGCGCAAGCGUUGUCCGGAAUUAUUGGGCGUAAAGAGUUCGUAGGCGGUUUGUCGCGUCUGCUGUGAAAUCCCGAGGCUCAACCUCGGGACUGCAGUGGGUACGGGCAAACUAGAGUGUGGUAGGGGAAACUGGAAUUCCUGGUGUAGCGGUGGAAUGCGCAGAUAUCAGGAGGAACACCGAUGGCGAAGGCAGGUUUCUGGGCCACAACUGACGCUGAGGAACGAAAGCAUGGGGAGCGAACAGGAUUAGAUACCCUGGUAGUCCAUGCCGUAAACGGUGGGCACUAGAUGUGGGGGCCAUUCCAUGGUUUCCGCGUCGCAGCUAACGCAUUAAGUGCCCCGCCUGGGGAGUACGG